rnacentral:rRNA from 1 species
AGUGAACGCUGGCGGUAGGCCUAACACAUGCAAGUCGAACGGCAGCACAGUAAGAGCUUGCUCUUACGGGUGGCGAGUGGCGGACGGGAGAGGAAUAUAACGGAAUCUACUCUUUCGUGGGGGAUAACGUAGGGAAACUUACGCUAAUACAGCAUACGACCUACGGGUGAAAGCAGGGGAUCUUCGGACCUUGCGCGAUUGAAUGAGCCGAUGUCGGCUUAGCUAGUUGGUGGGGUAAAGGCCCACCAAGGCGACUAACCGUUUCUGGACUGAGAGGAUGGUCGGCCGCACGGGAACUUAGACGCGGUCCAUAGCCCUGCGGGAGGCAGCAGUCGGGAAUAUUAGGCAGUGGUGGCAAGCCUGAUCCAGCGAUACCGCGUGUGUUAAGGAGGCCUUCGGGUUGUAAAGCCCUUUUGUUGGUAAAGAAAAGCAUCAGGUUAAUACCCCGCUGUUCUGACGGUACCCAGAGAAUAAGCACCGGCUAACUUCGUG